AUACGAAGGGUGCAAGCGUUGUUCGGAUUUAUUGGGCGUAAAGCGCGCGCAGGCGGCUUUGUAAGUCAGAUGUGAAAUCUCGGGGCUUAACCUCGAAACAGCGUCUGAAACUGCAAAACUAGAAUAUCGGAGGGGGCAGGGGAAUUUCUCGUGUAGGGGUAAAAUCCGUAGAUAUGAGAAGGAACACCGGUGGCGAAAGCGCCUGCCUGGACGAUUAUUGACGCUGAGGCGCGAAAGCGUGGGGAGCAAACAGGAUUAGAUACCCUGGUAGUCCACGCCGUAAACGAUGAGCACUAGUUCUUGUGGGUAUUGACCCCUGCAGGGACGCAGCUAACGCAUUAAGUGCUCCGCCUGGGGAAUACGGUCGCAAGACUAAA
rnacentral:rRNA from 1 species